rnacentral:rRNA from 1 species
UACAGAGGUCUCAAGCGUUGUUCGGAUUCAUUGAGCGUAAAGGGCGCGUAGGCGGCGUAACAAGUCACUUGUGAAAUCUCCGGGCUUAACCCGGAGCGGCCAAGUGAUACUGUUGUGCUAGAGUGCGGAAGGGGCUACUGGAAUUCUCGGUGUAGCGGUGAAAUGCGUAGAUAUCGAGAGGAACACCUGCGGCGAAGGCGGGUUGCUGGGCUGAUACUGACGCUGAGGCGCGAAAGCUAGGGGAGCGAACGGG